rnacentral:rRNA from 1 species
GACGAACGCUGGCGGCGUGCCUAAUACAUGCAAGUCGAACGGAAAGGCCCGGCUUUUGUGCGGUGCACGAGUGGCGAACGGGUGAGUAACACGUGAGUAACCUGCCCUUGACUGUGGGAUAACUUCUGGAAACUGGGGCUAAUACCGCAUAAGAGCUCCUGCUGCAUGGUGUUGGUUGGAAAGUUUCGGCUUUUGGGGAACUACUCGCGGCUUACUAGCUUGCUGGGGUGGUAGUGGCUUUCCAGGGCUAUGACGGUUAGCCGGCCUGGGAGGGGGACCGGCCCCAAUGGGCCUGCGGUACGGCCCAGACUGCAACGGGAGGCAGCGGUGGAAAAUAUUCCGCAAUAGGCGGACGCGGGAUACAGAGACUCCGGGUCCGGAAUGAUGGCUUUCGGGGUAUAAACAGCUUUCGACUGUGACGAACCCUGAGUGACGGUAAUUGAUCAGAAAGCACCGGCUAACUACGUG